AUUGAACGCUGGCGGCAGGCCUAACACAUGCAAGUCGAACGAGUGGCGGACGGGUGGGUAAUGUCUGGGAAACUGCCUGAUGGAGGGGGAUAACUACUGGAAACGGUAGCUAAUACCGCAUACCAUCGGAUGUGCCCAGAUGGGAUUAGCUAGUAGGUGGGGUAACGGCUCACCUAGGCGACGAUCCCUAGCUGGUCGGAGAGGAUGACCAGCCACCCUGGAAGUGAGACGCGGUCCAGACUCCUACGGGAGGGAGCAGUGGGGAAUGUUGCACAAUGGGCGCAAGCCUGAUACAGCCAUGCCGCGUGUAUGAAGAAGGCCUUCGGGUUGUAAAGUACUUUCAGCGGGGAUGCGUUACCCGCAGAAGAAGCACCGGCUAACUCCGUGCCAGCAGCCGCGGUAAUUC
rnacentral:rRNA from 1 species